rnacentral:tRNA from 3 species
GUCGAUAUGGCCGAGUGGUCUAAGGCGAUUGAUUAGAAAUCAAUUGGGCUUGCCCGCGCAGGUUCGAAUCCUGCUGUCGACG